rnacentral:rRNA from 1 species
UACGUAGGGUGCAAGCGUUGUCCGGAAUUAUUGGGCGUAAAGAGCUUGUAGGCGGUUUGUCGCGUCUGCUGUGAAAUUUCGGGGCUCAACCCCGAACUUGCAGUGGGUACGGGCAGACUAGAGUGUGGUAGGGGAGACUGGAAUUCCUGGUGUAGCGGUGAAAUGCGCAGAUAUCAGGAGGAACACCGGUGGCGAAGGCGGAUCUCUGGGCCGUAACUGACGCUGAGGAGCGAAAGCGUGGGGAGCGAACAGG